rnacentral:tRNA from 1 species
GGAGAGAUGGCUCAGUGGUUAAGAGCACUGACUAUUCUUCCAGAGGUCCUGAGUUCAAUUCCCAGCAACCCCA